UGUGUACUUGCACGUCAUCAGGUGCGUGGCCGUGAGAUAUACUUCAAGAAGGGGAGACAAUCACAUAAGGCAACAGAGAUUACUACAACAGAUUCUUAAAUAUCUUUUCACUCUGAAGCAAGUAACUUCUAUCUUUACUACUUUACAACUUUCCAAAAAGAAAUUGUGAUUCUGUAACCUUCUUGCCCUGCUGUAUACACCACUUUGCACUCAUCUGUUAGUUUGUAUACUGAAAGAAGCUACACUCUCCCUCACUUUUCUUGCCAUUGUUGGGAAAAGGUUGAGGGUUUGGUUGAAAGGCAAAGUUUGUUUAUUUUUCCUUCAAGUCCUUACAAUCAUGUCCACAUCGAUCGCUCAAAACUAACACUUUUCAUCACAGAUACAAGACAAAAGUGAAAAUUGCCAAAAAACUGCCAAACUUUCUGGAAAAAGAUAAACAGAGGAAUCUAGACUCAUCUUCGUAGCAGGAUUGCUCCAGCUUGUAACAGCAACUAUUUCUUUAAUUUAACGGUUCUUCUCAGCUGUGGUGUCAUGUGGAAGCUAUUCUGAAUUUGUAAUACCAAUCUCCUCCACCUCUUGUCUAAACAAUAGACCUUGGAUUUGAACUCUGAACUCAUUUACCUCACAAUGGACUAUUACUAACUAGUGUGCUACAUCAGGUCAUUUAGUCAUGCAUACACAAUGUCUGAAUAUAAGAUGGGAUGGUCACAGUUGGAACAUCUUUGAUCAUAUGUCUCUCUGCAUCAGGACCCAUCAGGGGUUAAACAACAACUAUAGCCACUUACACUAACUACUAUUAAAUAAUGUAGUCCUAGAUACACUAUGCCUGAAUAAAAGAUGGUCACAACCAUCCUAUCGUAGAUCGGUUGGAUCAGGAUUGUCCUGGGGUUAAACAACAACAGCAACUACAACAGCAGCAACAACAACACUAACAACAACAACAACAACGCAAACAGCAGCAGGAGUAACAACAGCAUGACAGCAGCAGCAACAACAACAACAACAGCAGCAACAUGGAAAAAUAAACUUUUAAUCAUUCCUUAAUUAAAACUACUAAUUACAAUUUAAUUCAUAUCUACAUAAUUCUAUGCAUAUUUCUUCAUUUUUUUUUUGUUGUGUAUGUUUGUUUGUGUAUGUUUCUUUUUUAAAAUCUCUUUCAUGAAUUAAGAUGCCACAAAAGUUUUGCGAGAAUGUGCUAAUUAUGUCCGUUAAUUAAAUAAAACCUUUAAAAUAAUUUGUC